ACCCAUGCAGUUUAGCGCGGUAAACCCGAGAGGGACCGAGGGCACCGCGCAACGCGGCAUAAGCAACUAGCGCACCGAAACGAGCGGAACACGUGAGACUAACGUCGAUCGAGAGCAUUCCACUACCAUCGGCACGCCGCACCCAUGCAGCUUAGCGCGGUAAACACGAGAGGGACCGAGGGCACCGCGCACCGCGGCAUAAGCAACUAGCGCACCGAAACGAGCGGAACACGUGAGACUAACGUCGAUCGAGAGCAUUCCACUACCAUCGGCACGCCGCACCCAUGCAGCUUAGCGCGGUAAACCCGAGAGGGACCGAGGGCACCGCGCACCGCGGCAUAAGCAUCUAGCGCACCGAAACGAGCGGAACACGUGAGACUAACGUCGAUCGAGAGCAUUCCACUACCAUCGGCACGCCGCACCCAUGCAGCUUAGCGCGAUAAACCCGAGAGGGACCGAGGGCACCGCGCACCGCGGCAUAAGCAACUAGCGCACCGAACCGAGCGGAACACGUGAGACUAACGUCGAUCGAGAGCAUUCCGCUACCACCGGCACGCCGCACCUAUGCAGCUUAGCGCGAUAAACCCGAGAGGGACCGAGGGACCUUAGACCAACGAGGGGAUACGUCUAGCGCGACGCAACGUCCUAAUCGAGCAACGAUUGCCCAUAGCGGGGGGGCAUUACACCAUGGCCGGGUGAGACCGUUGCUCCACAUGAAGCUCAGCACACCCAACCGUGGGGAUCAGCCCCCUACACACGCACAAGCUCAAGCACAACCACCGUGCCGUCAUUGCGUGCAUCUGGUAGCUAUUGGCUCAUCGGGCUAGGCAUUCAUACAAAUACCAUCAUUGCCGCAAUGAUUGCCAGCAAAUCGCGCACAACAAAAAAAUU
rnacentral:lncRNA from 1 species